rnacentral:lncRNA from 1 species
AGAAAACUGCAAGCUGAAGUGAAUUCUGACUAGCUCAGGGACUUCUAGUCUUGGAAAGAAAACGGAGAGGAGUUUUUCCUGGAUAGCAGAGGGAAUCUGAAGCCACAAGUGGGAAAAGAGCCAGACUUUCCUAUUUGUUCGUGUACCUGCUACCAUUAAGAAGUCCUUCCACAACCUUUUCUUCACUUAACAACAAUUAUCCAAGACUCAAAAAGAAGAAAACUCAACAUCAUAGCCAUAAAAUCUGGACCCUGAGGCAAACAUUUUGAUCAAUGGUCAGAUAAGAGAGGAAAGUAGGAUGAGGAUUUAACUGAAGUGGAUAUUAUCAGUAAAUGGAAUGUUACAGAAAGGUUGACAUCACUUGCAGACACCAUGCCGGCCUGAAGUCAGAAGUACAAAGAACGAAACUGUCUCUACUUUCAAGGAUGUUAUAUUAUGAUGGAGGGCAUACAUUUCUCGACAUAGGAGCUUAA